CUUUCCGGUCUACCCUGCUGCCAUGCAAUAAGUUGCAUCUACAAGAGCUCACAACAGUUGGAUGCAUACAUAGCUGAGUGUUAUUCCAUUGAGGCUUACAAGAAAAUUUACUCUCAUGUGUUGGAGCCAUUGGAAGGUCAGUCAAAUUGGCCAGUUGCUGAUCAUGUGAGGCCACAAGCAGCUGGUUACAUCAAAAUGCCAGGCAGGCCAAGUAAACAAAGGAAAAGAGAAGAAGGAGAAGCACCAAAAGGGAUAAAAAUGAGCAAGGUGGGUGGCCAAAUCACCUGCAGUUCAUGCAAUAGGACUGGCCAUAACAUGACAAGUUGCAAAAAUAAUGCUGCUGCAACUAAGCAU
rnacentral:rRNA from 1 species